AUCUGGGGCACGUUCUGGUGCCCUGCCGGAGGGGGGAUUCGGACACGGAGGGCUUCUUCCUCAACACCAUUGCCUCUCCGAUGAUGCGUGAGUAGUUUACCAUAGACCUUCGGGUCCGAGCUAGUAGCUAGAUGGCUUCUUCUCUCUCUUGGAUCUUCAAUACAAAGUUCUCCAUGAUCUUCAUGGAGAUCUAUCCGAUGUAAUCUUCUUUUGCGGUGUGUUUGUCGAGAUCCGAUGAAUUGUGGAUUUAUGAUCAGAUUAUCUAUG
rnacentral:lncRNA from 1 species